GCCGCAUCCUCCCCGGCUCAGGCGCCAGCGGGUGGGGGGUGGAGGCUGGGGGGCGGAGGGUGGAGAGCCGGCCCUGCAGGGACGGCGCGCGCGCGGACUCGCCUCUUCGCUGCGGGCAUGCGGGGCGGAGGUCUGGGGCGGAGGGCGGCGCUCCCGUGGUUGGGGAGGGUGUGGGACUAGAACUCUUAAGAUCCGAGGGGGGCUGUGAGUCGCUUUGAGCGGAGGUGGAAGCGGCUUUACUAUUGGAGGAAAUCCCCUAGGGCGAUGUCUAACCAGGGGCAUCCUUGAACAUCUGAAUUUGCUUCUCUGUGUCUCCAAAUCAAGUAGCUAGAAGUUGUAACUUGAAAGGAUUCAGGAUUACUUGAACUGGCUGAAGGAUUUAACACAGUGCUGGGCACACACUGGACAUGCACGGAAUGAAAGCUGCGGUUACUUCUGUUAUUCUUACUAUAUCAUUAUUAAACCAUAAGCAACAGCGGAGCAGUAUGAAAAUAUAACGCAUUGUUUUCUGAGGCUCACGUAAUAUGGCCGUGAGUAGGUUGUGCUUAUCAGGGGAAUUAUUUGGGUGUUGAAAGUUACAGUGGGAAAGUAGCGUAGUGGGUGAUGCUCUUGGUCUCCACCUCAACCCCCUCUACUCGCUGACGUAGCUCUCCCCCAGCCUCUGUUGUCUGCUCAUCGCUUCUCGCGGCCCCCUUGGCCAAGGCAGCUGUCUUACCCAGGUCGGUUUUUCUCACUCAAUUCUGCAGCUAAUGAUUGAUAGAUAAAGGGAUACAGAAAGUCAGGCCUCUCGCCUCGAAGCAAAACCACAAUGUGGUAAAAUUCAUGCUCCAGCGCGUCCUAUGGGAGCUGAGCCCCUGAACCCACUUACCUUUUUCUUCCUGCUCAGUUCUGCUCUACUUACUUCCUUCUGCUAAAACUCCCUCAAGAAUAACUUGUACAAGAAUCCCUGUCCCAAUCUCUGAAUUUCUGUCUACUUCUAUGGACUCCAACCUGAGGUACUUUGGACUAGAUUGGAAAGGUUCUUGGAUGUUUGGCUUAGAAUUCCAAGUGCUGUCCUAUUGCAUUGGGAAGCCUAAUGUAUUUUGAAAGGAUCACUUUAGUAAAGAGUGGCGUGGAAAGUGGCUAGAGGCUUAAGAUGGAAGCUUUGACAUAAUUAAGGAAUGGUAAAUACCUCACUCAUUUAUCAUUGAUUAGGGUAGGGGAACAUGAGAUAUAAAAGUCAUUUGUAGGGAUUGGGAAGAACUGAGACGUCUUAGAUAAUUUGAAUCUGUGGAGGAGGAAUCGAAGAAGUUUCUAGAUUGAGUGACUAGGCAAACAGUUAAUCAGUAGUUAUAUCAACUAUUUCAAAUAGUUGAAAAAAUGACUCCUAGAAAGAACUGGAUUAAGGGAGGCUAAAACUAAAUUUAAAAAAUGAUUAUGGGGGACUUUCACCCAUGUUUGCUAGCUGAGGAGAAUGAAUUGGGGGUAUAAGUCAGCUGGCUUCAGUUUGUGCUCUGGCUCUGGGGACAGCUUCCUGUACGGCCCUGGACAAGUCACUCAGUGUUUUGUCAGGCUCUGAUGAGUAAUGGUCAUGAUAAACAUUUCACAGGAAAGCUGUUAGGGUCAAGCGAGAUAAUAUAUAAAAGAGGUUUGUCAACUGAACUGUUAUACAAAUAUUGGUAGUAAGCACAUUGUUUAUUUAAAGAUUUUAUUUAUUUAUUUGACAGAGAUAGAGACAGCCAGCGAGAGAAGGAACACAAGCAGGGGGAGUGGGAGAGGAAGAAGCAGGCUCAUAGCAGAGGAGCCUGAUGGGGCUCGAUCCCAGAACGCCGGGAUCACGCCCUGAGCCGAAGGCAGACGCUCAACCGCUGUGCCACCCAGGCGCCCCACAUUGUUUAUUUAAACCCUAUCUUUUUGUGAAAGAAUGUCACCCAUUUUCCACGAGUAUGUAGGGUCGGAGGGUCUGAAAGAUAGGAACGGGGACAGGGGAGAGAGAGAGAGGAUGUGAAGGAAUGGAUUAAUAAAAUGUGGUUCCAGCCCAGAAACAGUUAUUCCUUCGAACAUGGCUACAUGACAGCAAAGCAGAAAGCCCUUAGAGUUUACAUAAUUUUUGUUAGCAGUAUUUUGUGUGGUCCAAGAAGAGGGCCUCUUGCUGAUUUGCAUGUAUGCCAUUUCAGUCGCUUUGGAACACAAUACAAAUGUUUAUUGUUUAGGUUAUCAGGACGACUUUUAUUUGAUGUUGCAAAGUUUAGUGAUAGCAAUAAUAAUAAUAGUAAGAGUAAUAAUAAUAAAUGUUUAAUCGUGGUAGGUGCUGUCAGUUUAUAUGUCAUUAGGUAUAUGAUUGAUCUGGGCUUAGACUCUAAAAGCCAGUGCUUUUAGCCAAAUAGUCUAAACAAUUUAAAAAUUCUUGGAUCAUACAUUCUUUUUUUUUUUUUUCAUGGGUGGUAGAAGGUGGUAGACCUUCUGAAGUCAUUAAAUACAAUUAUAUUCUUACACGUUUCUGUUUCUUAGGUUCAACAGUGUCGCUUUCUAUGUUUCAUUUUAAGCUGUCUGGUGUUUCAGAGUAAAGCAGGGAGAGUAACAGGCAGGUUCCUAUCUUGGAAGGUGAUAGUGAAGAUAAAGUGAGCUCCGGAACUUAGAAUGGUGCCAGGCAUAGUUAAUAUCAGUGGCUGUAAUGAUUAGUUCUUGACACAGAUGAGAAAGCAGUCAGUGAGCGGGCACCUCAACAUAAAACAGUUGAAAACAUUGGGGGAUUUACUUUGGAAUCAGUGAAGAGAGAGGAGAUUGUUUCCUUAACUACA